GACAGAGGGGGCAAGCGUUGCUCGGAAUCACUGGGCGUAAAGGGCGCGUAGGCGGGAUGGCAAGUCAGUCGUGAAAUCUCUCGGCUCAACCGAGAAACGUCGGCUGAUACUGCCGUUCUUGAGGUAUGCAGAGGAGACUGGAAUUCCCGGUGUAGCGGUGAAAUGCGUAGAUAUCGUAAGGAAGACCAGUGGCGAAGGCGGGUCUCUGGACAGUUCCUGACGCUGAGGCACGAAGGUCAGGGGAGCAAACGGG
rnacentral:rRNA from 1 species